rnacentral:rRNA from 1 species
AUUGAACGCUGGCGGCAGGCCUAACACAUGCAAGUCGAGCGGAUGACGGGAGCUUGCUCCUUGAUUCAGCGGCGGACGGGUGAGUAAUGCCUAGGAAUCUGCCUGGUAGUGGGGGACAACGUUUCGAAAGGAACGCUAAUACCGCAUACGUCCUACGGGAGAAAGCAGGGGACCUUCGGGCCUUGCGCUAUCAGAUGAGCCUAGGUCGGAUUAGCUAGUUGGUGGGGUAAUGGCUCACCAAGGCGACGAUCCGUAACUGGUCCGAGAGGAUGAUCAGUCACACGGGAACUGAGACACGGUCCAGACUCCUACGGGAGGAAGCAGUGGGGAAUAUUGGACAAUGGGCGAAAGCCUGAUCCAGCCAUGCCGCGUGUGUGAAGAAGGUCUUCGGAUUGUAAAGCACUUUAAGUUGGGAGGAAGGGCAGUAAGUUAAUACCUUGCUGUUUUGACGUUACCGACAGAAUAAGCACCGGCUAACUCUGUGCCAGCCGCCGCCGUAACAC